rnacentral:rRNA from 1 species
UUGAACGCUGGCGGCAUGCUUUACCCAUGCAAGUCGAACGGCAGCGCGGGCUUCGGCCUGGCGGCGAGUGGCGAACGGGGGAGUAAUGCAUCGGAACGUGCCCAGUAGUGGGGGAUAGCCCGGCGAAAGCCGGAUUAAUACCGCAUACGACCUGAGGGGGAAAGCGGGGGACCGAAAGGCCUCGCGCUAUUGGAGCGGCCGAUGUCGGAUUAGCUAGUUGGUGGGGUAAAGGCUUACCAAGGCGACGAUCCGUAGCUGGUCUGAGAGGACGACCAGCCACACUGGGACUGAGACACGGCCCAGACUCCUACGGGAGGCAGCAGUGGGGAAUUUUGGACAAUGGGGGCAACCCUGAUCCAGCCAUGCCGCGUGCGGGAAGAAGGCCUUCGGGUUGUAAACCGCUUUUGUUCGGGAAGAAAUCCUCUGGGCUAAUACCCCGGGGGGAUGACGGUACCGGAAGAAUAAGCACCGGCUAACUACGUG